rnacentral:rRNA from 1 species
AAAAGGCUUAGUGGCGGACGGGUGAGUAACGCGUGGGUAACCUGGCCCAUACAGGGGGAUAACACUUAGAAAUAGGUGCUAAUACCGCAUAACAACAGAAAGCGCAUGCUUUUUGUUUGAAAACCAAGGUGGUAUGGGAUGGACCCGCGUCUGAUUAGCUGGUUGGCAGGGUAAAGGCCCACCAAGGCGACGAUCAGUAGCCGGCCUGAGAGGGUGGACGGCCACAUUGGGACUGAGACACGGCCCAAACUCCUACGGGAGGCAGCAG